rnacentral:rRNA from 1 species
ACUCAAAGGAAUAGACGGGGACCCGCACAAGCGGUGGAGCAUGUGGUUUAAUUCGAGGCAACGCGAAGAACCUUACCAGGCCUUGACAUGGGUAGUUUGGUUUCCAGAAAUGGAUUCCUUCAGUUCGGCUGGCUACCACACAGGUGCUGCAUGGCUGUCGUCAGCUCGUGUCGUGAGAUGUUGGGUUAAGUCCCGCAACGAGCGCAACCCUCAUCCUUGGUUGCUACCAGGUAAUGCUGAGAACUCCAGGGAAACUGCCGGUGAUAAGCCGGAGGAAGGUGGGGAUGACGUCAAGUCUUCAUGGCCCUUAUGGCCUGGGCUACACACGUGCUACAAUGGCGGUGACAGUGCGCUGCUACCUUGCAAGAGGAAGCUAAUCGCAAAAAACCGUCUCAGUUCGGAUUGCACUCUGCAACUCGAGUGCAUGAAGUUGGAAUCGCUAGUAAUCGUGGAUCAGCACGCCACGGUGAAUACGUUCCCGGGUCUUGUACACACCGCCCGU